GGGCGACCCAGGAAUGCUUUCUGCCAGCAGCGAGUGUGUUUCCACACAUUCACCCAAGCCCGCUCCAUGGAGUUACAGCUGACAGCAUUUUAAAGAAAUAAUAUCUGCUAGAUGCAGAUGGACACUCUUAAUUAUGCCCAGUGAUGAGAUUAGGAUGGCCAAGCUGAAAUAG